rnacentral:rRNA from 1 species
AUUGAACGCUGGCGGCAUGCCUUACACAUGCAAGUCGAACGGCAGCACGGGGGCAACCCUGGUGGCGAGUGGCGAACGGGUGAGUAACGCAUCGGAACGUGCCCAGUAGUGGGGGAUAACCAGUCGAAAGAUUGGCUAAUACCGCAUACGACCUACGGUUGAAAGCGGGGGACCGUAAGGCCUCGCGCUAUUGGAGCGGCCGAUGUCCGAUUAGCUAGUUGGUGGGGUAAAAGCCCACCAAGGCGACGAUCGGUAGCUGGUCUGAGAGGACGACCAGCCACACUGGGACUGAGACACGGCCCAGACUCCUACGGGAGGCAGCAGUGGGGAAUUUUGGACAAUGGGCGCAAGCCUGAUCCAGCCAUGCCGCGUGCGGGAAGAAGGCCUUCGGGUUGUAAACCGCUUUUGUACGGAACGAAAAGGUUUGGGCUAAUAAGCUGAGCUCAUGACGGUACCGUAAGAAUAAGCACCGGCUAACUACGUGCCAGCAGCCGCAGUAACAC